rnacentral:rRNA from 1 species
UACGUAGGUGUCGAGCGCUGUCCGGAUUUAUUGGGCGUAAAGAGCCCGCAGGCGGCUUGGCAAGUUUGAGGUGAAAUCUCCCGGCUUAACUGGGAGGGGGCCUCGAAAACUGCCAGGCUUGAGGCAUGGAGAGGGAUGCGGAAUUCCCGGUGUAGUGGUGAAAUGCGUAGAUAUCGGGAGGAACACCAGUGGCGAAGGCGGCAUCCUGGCCAUGUCCUGACGCUCAGGGGCGAAAGCGUGGGGAGCAAACCGG